GAUGAACGCUGGCGGCGUGCCUAAUACAUGCCAGUCGAGCGAACAGACGAGGAGCUUGCUCCUCUGACGUUAGCGGCGGACGGGUGAGUAACACGUGGAUAACCUACCUAUAAGACUGGGAUAACUUCGGGAAACCGGAGCUAAUACCGGAUAAUAUAUUGAACCGCAUGGUUCAAUAGUGAAAGACGGUUUUGCUGUCACUUAUAGAUGGAUCCGCGCCGCAUUAGCUAGUUGGUAAGGUAACAGCUUACCAAGGCAACGAUGCGUAGCCGACCUGAUAGGGUGAGCGGCCACACUGGAACUGAGACACGGUCCAGACUCCUACGGGAGGCAGCAGUAGGGAAUCUUCCGCAAUGGGCGAAAGCCUGACGGAGCAACGCCGCGUGAGUGAUGAAGGUCUUCGGAUCGUAAAACUCUGUUAUUAGGGAAGAACAAAUGUGUAAGUAACUAUGCACGUCUUGACGGUACCUAAUCAGAAAGCCACGGCUAACUACGUG
rnacentral:rRNA from 1 species